rnacentral:rRNA from 1 species
AACGAACGCUGGCGGCAGGCCUAACACAUGCAAGUCGAACGCGUCCUUCGGGACGAGUGGCAGACGGGUGAGUAACGCGUGGGAACGUACCCUUUGGUUCGGAACAACAGCGGGAAACUGCUGCUAAUACCGGAUAAGCCCUUCGGGGGAAAGAUUUAUCGCCAGAGGAUCGGCCCGCGUUAGAUUAGCUUGUUGGUGAGGUAAUGGCUCACCAAGGCUACGAUCUAUAGCUGGUCUGAGAGGAUGAUCAGCCACACUGGGACUGAGACACGGCCCAGACUCUUACGGGAGGCAGCAGUGGGGAAUCUUGGACAAUGGGCGAAAGCCUGAUCCAGCCAUGCCGCGUGAAUGAUGAAGGCCCUAGGGUUGUAAAAUUCUUUCGACGGGGAAGAUAAUGACGGUACCCGUAGAAGAAGCUCCGGCUAACUCCGUGCCAGCAGCCGCGGUAAU